rnacentral:sRNA from 1 species
GCACCUUAUAAAACGGGUGCCGGGCGUGGAAACCCGAUGAUGAUUACCGCGCAUAACCGCGCUCAGGCGGUUUUUUU